UGAAAACUAUUCAACACUUGUCCUUCUCACACUUGACAGCAAGGACUCUUUCUGCUUUUGCUCCAGGCCUAGUGGCCAUGUCACAUCGGGCUCAAGCUUUUUGGCAUUUCAAGUAGAAGUAGAAGAAGAUUAAUGGCCCCACAGCAUCUGUUACUCCAACCACCACAGCUGGAGUUAGAAGGAAAUGGGUCACACUGAGACAUAUGGAGAAAGG